rnacentral:rRNA from 1 species
UACGUAGGGUGCAAGCGUUAAUCGGAAUUACUGGGCGUAAAGCGUGCGCAGGCGGUUUUGUAAGUCUGUCGUGAAAUCCCCGGGCUCAACCUGGGAAUUGCGAUGGAGACUGCAAGGCUAGAAUCUGGCAGAGGGGGGUAGAAUUCCACGUGUAGCAGUGAAAUGCGUAGAGAUGUGGAGGAACACCGAUGGCGAAGGCAGCCCCCUGGGACAAGAUUGACGCUCAUGCACGAAAGGCGUGGGAGCAAACAGG